rnacentral:rRNA from 1 species
CACGCCGUAAACGAUGAGUGCUAGGUGUCGGGAGUCAAAUCUCGGUGCCGUAGUUAACGCAAUAAGCACUCCGCCUGGGGAGUACGUGCGCAAGCAUGAAACUCAAAGGAAUUGACGGGG